CAAAUGCUCCCCACGCUUGUAAUACUGCCUAAAUUCUUGAUGAAAAUGAUAUUUUUUGUUAGCGUUCUUUCAACACUGCGUCAACGUUAUUUGGAAACCACGAAUAAUUACAUGCAUGGCUGUCUUUCAUUCCAACCGUUUCUCUUUAAAGCUAGAAUCAUAGAUAUCUUAUAUAAGAUAUCUAUGGCUAGAAUGCUUAUCAGUUAAUGUCUAUUUAUUAUGGCUGCAGAUUAUACGAGUUAUUUUGCUGUUGAUAUGUUUGUUAAAGUGCGGGGGUUCUUCGAUUCUGAGUUUAAAGAUUCGGGUUUUUUUCGAUUCUGGGUUUAAAAGAUUCUCGGGGGGUUUUCGAUUCUGGGUUUAAAAGAUUCGGGGGUUUUUCGAUUCUGAGUUUAAAGAUUCGGGCGUUUUUCGACUCUGGGUUUAAAAGAUUCGGGGGGUUUUCGAUUCUGAGUUUAAAGAUUCGGGGGUUUUUCGAUUUUGGGUUUAAAAGAUUCGGGGGUUCUUCGAUUCUGGGUUUAAAAGAUUCGGGGGUUCUUCGAUUCUGGGUUUAAAAGAUUCGGGGGGUUUUCGAUUCUGGGUUUAAAGAUUCGGGGGUUUUUCGAUUUUGGGUUUAAAAGAUUCCGGGGUUCUUCGAUUCUGAGUUUAAAGAUUCGGGGGGUUUUCGAUUCUGAGUUUAAAGAUUCGGGGGUUUUCGAUUCUGGGUUUAAAAGAUUCGGGGGUUUUUCGACUCUGGGUUUAAAAGAUUCGGGGGUUAUUCGAUUCUGAGUUUAAAGAUUCGGGGGUUUUCGAUUCUGAGUUUAAAGAUUCGGGGGUUUUCGAUUCUGGGUUUAAAAGAUUCGGGGGUUCUUCGAUUCUGGGUUUAAAAGAUUCGGGGGGUUUUCGAUUCUGGGUUUAAAGAUUCCGGGGGUUCUUCGAUUCUGAGUUUAAAGAUUCGGGAGUUCUUCGAUUCUGAGUUUAAAGAUUCGGGGGUUUUUCGAUUUUGGGUUUAAAAGAUUCCGGCGUUCUUCGAUUCUGAGUUUAAAGAUUCGGGGUUUUUUCGAUUCUUAGUUUAAAGAUUCGGGGGUUUUCGAUUCUGGGUUUAAAAGAUUCGGGGGUUUUUCGACUCUGGGUUUAAAAGAUUCGGGGGUUAUUCGAUUCUGAGUUUAAAGAUUCGGGGGUUUUUCGAUUUUGGGUUUAAAAGAGUCGGGGGUUCUUCGACUCUGGGUUUAAAAGAUUCGGGGGUUCUUCGAUUCUGAGUUUAAAGAUUCGGGGGUUUUCGAUUCUGAGUUUAAAGAUUCGGGGGUUUUCGAUUCUGGGUUUAAAAGAUUCGGGGGUUCUUCGAUUCUGGGUUUAAAAGAUUCGGGGGGUUUUCGAUUCUGGGUUUAAAGAUUCCGGGGGUUCUUCGAUUCUGAGUUUAAAGAUUCGGGAGUUCUUCGAUUCUGAGUUUAAAGAUUCGGGGGUUUUUCGAUUUUGGGUUUAAAAGAUUCCGGCGUUCUUCGAUUCUGAGUUUAAAGAUUCGGGGUUUUUUCGAUUCUUAGUUUAAAGAUUCGGGGGUUUUCGAUUCUGGGUUUAAAAGAUUCGGGGGUUUUUCGACUCUGGGUUUAAAAGAUUCGGGGGUUAUUCGAUUCUGAGUUUAAAGAUUCGGGGGUUUUUCGAUUUUGGGUUUAAAAGAGUCGGGGGUUCUUCGACUCUGGGUUUAAAAGAUUCGGGGGUUCUUCGAUUCUGAGUUUAAAGAUUCGGGGGUUUUCGAUUCUGAGUUUAAAGAUUCGGGGGUUUUCGAUUCUGGGUUUAAAAGAUUCGGGGGUUCUUCGAUUUUGGGUUUAAAAGAUUCGGGGGUUCUUCGAUUCUGAGUUUAAAGAUUCGGGGGUUUUUCGAUUCUGAGUUUAAAGAUUCGGGGGUUUUCUAUUCUGGGUUUAAAAGAUUCGGGGGUUUUUCGACUCUGGGUUUAAAAGAUUCGGGGGUUAUUCGAUUCUGAGUUUAAAGAUUCGGGGCUUUUUCGAUUUUGGGUUUAAAAGAUUCGGGGGUUUUUCGACUCUGGGUUUAAAAGAUUGGGGGGUUCUUCGAUUCUGAGUUUAAAGAUUUGGGGGUUUUUCGAUUCUGAGUUUAAAGAUUCGGGGGUUUUCGAUUCUGGGUUUAAAAGAUUCGGGGGUAUUUCGAUUCUGAGUUUAAAUAUUCGGGGGGUUUUCGAUUUUGGGUUUAAAGAAUCGCGGGUUCUUCGAUUCUGAGUUUAAAGAUUCGGGGGUUUUUCGAUUCUGAGUUUAAAAGAUUCGGAGGUUUUUCGAUUCUGG